rnacentral:misc_RNA from 1 species
UGAUGUUCAAGUUUUUCCAUG